AUUUGUCAAGGCAAGCUAUUAUGGAAUACAGGACUUGCGUAUUCUAGGAUUGGUCUUAUGCACGUUGUAAAGAAUAGGACAAGUUCUUUCUUGCCAACUCUCGCUCUCUUAAGUUGGGAGAGAAAAUAGAGACGCUUUCGCGCCUUCGAUAUAAUUUGGUCAAUGUGAUUGUUCCAUUUCAAGUUGUAAGAAACGCUCAGAUCAAGGAUUUUAGCACUGUCGAC